rnacentral:misc_RNA from 1 species
CGGGGAGAUCAACUACAGGAGAGAUUCGAUUGCCUGGUAAAAGCUGGUUUGGAUUGUAAUGUGGUGACAAGCAUAAUCAGACAAGCUCCCAUGGUUCUAAACCAGAGCAAAGAUGUAAUCCAAGAGAAGAUUGAUUGUUUAAGAAACUGUUUAGGUUACCCUUUGAAUACAAUAGUGGCAUUCCCAGCUUAUUUAUGUUACAACAUGGAAAGAAUCAACACAAGAUUUUCAAUGUAUAGGUGGUUACGGGAUAAGGGAG